UACGUAGGGUGCAAGCGUUGUCCGGCAUUAUUGGGCGUAAAGAGCUUGUAGGCGGUUUGUCGCGUCUGCUGUGAAAUUUCGGGGCUCAACCCCGAACUUGCAGUGGGUACGGGCAGACUAGAGUGUGGUAGGGGAGACUGGAAUUCCUGGUGUAGCGGUGAAAUGCGCAGAUAUCAGGAGGAACACCGGUGGCGAAGGCGGGUCUCUGGGCCGAUACUGACGCUGAGGAGCGAAAGCGUGGGGAGCGAACAGG
rnacentral:rRNA from 1 species